AUAGGGGGGCUGGCCCUUUAACAUGCAAGUCGAACGGCAGCACGGGUGCUUGCACCUGGUGGCGAGUGGCGCAACUGGGUGAGUAAUACAUCGGAACAUGUCCUGUAGUGGGGGAUAGCCCGGCGAAAGCCGGAUUAAUACCGCAUACGAUCUACGGAUGAAAGCGGGGGACCUUCGGGCCUCGCGCUAUAGGGUUGGCCGAUGGCUGAUUAGCUAGUUGGUGGGGUAAAGGCCUACCAAGGCGACGAUCAGUAGCUGGUCUGAGAGGACGACCAGCCACACUGGGACUGAGACACGGCCCAGACUCCUACGGGAGGCAGCAGUGGGGAAUUUUGGACAAUGGGCGAAAGCCUGAUCCAGCAAUGCCGCGUGUGUGAAGAAGGCCUUCGGGUUGUAAAGCACUUUUGUCCGGAAAGAAAUCCUUGGCUCUAAUACAGUCGGGGGAUGACGGUACCGGAAGAAUAAGCACCGGCUAACUACGUGCCAGCAGCCGCGGUAAUACGUAGGGUGCGAGCGUUAAUCGGAAUUACUGGGCGUAAAGCGUGCGCAGGCGGUUUGCUAAGACCGAUGUGAAAUCCCCGGGCUCAACCUGGGAACUGCAUUGGUGACUGGCAGGCUAGAGUAUGGCAGAGGGGGGUAGAAUUCCACGUGUAGCAGUGAAAUGCGUAGAGAUGUGGAGGAAUACCGAUGGCCGAAGGCAGCCCCCCUGGGCCAAUACUGACGCUCCAUGCACGAAAAGUCGUGGGGGAGCAAAACAGGGAUUUAGAAUACCCUGGGUUAGUUCCACGCCCCUAAACGAUGUCAACUAGGUUGUUGGGGGAUUUCAUUUUCCUUAAUAACGUACCUUAACGCGUGAAGUUGACCGCCUGGGGAGUACGGUCGCAAGAUUAAAACUCAAAGGAAUUGACGGGGACCCGCACAAGCGGUGGAUGAUGUGGAUUAAUUUGAUGCAACGCGAAAAACCUUACCUACCCUUGACAUGGUCGGAAUCCUGCUGAGAGGUGGGAGUGCUCGAAAGAGAACCGGCGCACAGGUGUUGCAUGGCUGUCGUCAGCUCGUGUCGUGAGAUGUUGGGUUAAGUCCCGCAACGAGCGCAACCCUUGUCCUUAGUUGCUACGCAAGAGCACUCUAAGGAGACUGCCGGUGACAAACCGGAGGAAGGUGGGGAUGACGUCAAGUCCUCAUGGCCCUUAUGGGUAGGGCUUCACACGUCAUACAAUGGUCGGAACAGAGGGUUGCCAACCCGCGAGGGGGAGCUAAUCCCAGAAAACCGAUCGUAGUCCGGAUUGCACUCUGCAACUCGAGUGCAUGAAGCUGGAAUCGCUAGUAAUCGCGGAUCAGCAUGCCGCGGUGAAUACGUUCCCGGGUCUUGUACACACCGCCCGUCACACCAUGGGAGUGGGUUUUACCAGAAGUGGCUAGUGUAACCGCAAGGAGGACGGUCACCACGGUAGGAUUCAUGACUGGGGGGAAAGUCGUAAACCAAUGAGGCUG
rnacentral:rRNA from 1 species